rnacentral:tRNA from 1 species
AUCGUUUUAUUUUAAUUAAUUUAAAGUUAAAAAACGCGGUUUCAGAUCAGGGGAUUGAAAAUCCCCGUGUCCUUGGUUCGAUUCCGAGUCCGGGCACCA